rnacentral:rRNA from 1 species
UACAGAGGGGGCAAGCGUUAUUCGGAAUUAUUGGGCGUAAAGGGCGCGUAGGCGGCUUGGCAAGUGGAUGGUGAAAUCCCUCGGCUUAACCGAGGAACUGCCGUCCAAACUGCUUCGCUUGAGACCGGGAGAGGUGAGUGGAAUUCCCAGUUUAGCGGUGAAAUGCGCAGAUAUCAGGAAGAACACCCGUGGCGAAGGCGGCUCUCUGGGACGGUACUGACGCUGAGACGCGAAAGCGUGGGGAGCGAACAGG